rnacentral:rRNA from 1 species
GAUGAACGCUAGCUACAGGCUUAACACAUGCAAGUCGAGGGACAGGCGCACGGGUGAGUAACGCGUAUCCCACCUACCCAUUACUGUGGGAUAACCUGCCGAAAGGCAGACUAAUACCGCAUAGUAAUGGAUGGGGUUGCGUUGGAUUAGCUUGUUGGCGGGGUAACGGCCCACCAAGGCAACGAUCAGUAGGGGUUCUGAGAGGAAGGUCCACGGCGUUGGAACUGAGGCACGGUCCAAACUCCUACGGGGGGCAGCAGUGGGGAAUAUUGGUCAAUGGGCGGUAGCCUGAACCAGCCAAGUAGCGUGAAGGAGGAAGGCUUAUGGGUCGUAAACUUCUUUUAUAUAAGAAUAUGUAUUAUAUGAAUAAGGAUCGGCUAACUCCGUGCCAGCCGCCGCGGUAAUAC